rnacentral:rRNA from 1 species
CGCCUGUUUAUCAAAAACAUCGCCUCUUGUUCAAUUAUAGGAGGUCCAGCCUGCCCAGUGACUUUGUUCAACGGCCGCGGUAUCCUAACCGUGCGAAGGUAGCGUAAUCACUUGUUCUUUAAAUGAGGACUAGUAUGAAUGGCCCCACGAGGGCUGCACUGUCUCCUUUUUCUAAUCAAUGAAACUAAUCUCCCCGUGAAGAAGCGGGGAUUAUCCUAUAAGACGAGAAGACCCUAUGGAGCUUUAAACAAUUGAAACAUUUGCUUUUCUCCUAAUUCCUCCCGAGCUCUUUAUUUUUAUUUAAGCAUUAUUAUUUCUAGUUUUAGGUUGGGGUGACCACGGAGCAAAACUAAACCUCCAUGAAGAAAUGAAUAUUUUUAAGCCACAAACUACUUUUUUAAGCAUCAACAAAUUGACCUUCAUUGACCCAAUAUAUUGAUCAACGAACCAAGUUACCCUAGGGAUAACAGCGCAAUCUACUUCAAGAGCUCAUAUCGACAAGUAGGUUUACGACCUCGAUGUUGGAUCAGGGUAUCCUAGUGGUGCAGCCGCUACUAAUGGUUCGUUUGUUCAACGAUUAAAACCCU